AUGGAUUUGGUACUCAUUGGACCAUGUGGGAUACUACAGGCUUACGGUGCCUUUUGCUUGGAGGUUUUCACAGAAGACCUGGUUUUCACAGAAGACGAUGAGGGGUCUUCUACUGAUGAUGAGGGGUCUUGGGGCGGUCAUUUCCGCCGAGGCUGGGAUGUUACUGAUCCUGAUGAAGUUGAGGAAUUCACACAAACCAUCUAUGGGGGCCUUGGCCGCAAGUUGGAGAUCACAUACUUGGUGAUUCCGGAAGCAGUUGAGACCUAUGUUGAGGUCAGGUUGAACCUCAAAGACUUCGGUUCGAGAAGCCGCUCUGUGUAUGGUAGCGUCAAGGCAAUUGCCAUUGACUAUGGGAGCAAAAACGUCAAUCUCUUCAGUUUUGAACGAGGCAGUAGCUUGUCCCUGCCCUGUGGUUCGACGUGCAUUCUUCCACUGGGACAACCCGCGAUUGCAUUGCCUAAAGGUAGCAAGUACAAACUCCACAUAGAGGUGGACCUAAGAGUAAUCACGACCUGUGACAGCCAAGAAGAGGACAAGAAUUUGAAAUUCUGUCUAGACUGCAGCCGUAGAAUUAGGAGUAAAGAACGUCUAGAGUUACCCCGUAGAAUUAGGACUCAAAAAAGAGAAUUCGAUGGUGAUCAAGUUGAAGUGAAGGUCAUCUGGGUCCUAGAAAAAUUCUUCUAG
rnacentral:rRNA from 1 species